ensembl:lncRNA
GGCGCUUCCAGGUAGUGUGGUCUGGGUGCUCUGGAGACCCCAGGAAAGGGUGUUUGCCAUCCUUAACUUCCAGAGCAUUUCCUGUCAGCUAGCGGGAAGAAUGCGAGGAAAUGGUUCUCCUCCCCAGAGGGAGGAGCUUUACUCCUUAAAGACGCCCCUACACUGGAUUGGUCUAUAGAGAAGACAGCUGACCUGAUCUCACCUUAAAAUAAUGCUCAAGCAGGAGAAACUACACUACACCAGGAUGAGAAGACGACGACAUCGGAGGCAGAGGAACCAGAGAUCCGCUGGAUCAUGGAAAAAGCAAGAGAGUUCCAGAAAACAUCUAUUUCUGCUUUAUUGACUAUGCCAAAGCCUUUGACUGUGUGGAUCACAGCAAGCUGUGGAAAAUUCUGAAAGAGAUGGGAAUACCAGACCACCUGACCUGCCUCUUGAGAAACCUGUCUGCAGAUCAGGAAGCAACAGUUAGAACUGGGCAUGGAAC